rnacentral:rRNA from 1 species
UACGAAGGGGGCUAGCGUUGCUCGGAAUCACUGGGCGUAAAGCGCACGUAGGCGGAUCUUUAAGUCAGGGGUGAAAUCCUGGAGCUCAACUCCAGAACUGCCUUUGAUACUGGAGAUCUCGAGUCCGGAAGAGGUGAGUGGAACUCCGAGUGUAGAGGUGAAAUUCGUAGAUAUUCGGAAGAACACCAGUGGCGAAGGCGACUUACUGGACACAUAUUGACGCUGAGGUGCGAAAGCGUGGGGAGCAAACAGG